rnacentral:sRNA from 1 species
GCCGGCCCGGUGGCGCCUGCCUGUGAUCUAGUGACGUGGGAGGCUGAGGCAGGAGGAUCACAAGUUUGAGGCCAACCUCAGUAACUAAGCAAGGCCCUAAGCAAUUUAGUGAGACCCUGCCUCAA